rnacentral:rRNA from 1 species
GUUAAGGAACUCGGCAAAAUGACCCCGUAACUUAGGGAUAAGGGGUGCCACCAUCAGGUGGCCGCAGAGAAUAGGCCCAAGCGACUGUUUACCAAAAACAUAGGUUUCUGCUAAGUCGCAAGACGAUGUAUAGGAGCUGACGCCUGCCCGGUGCUGGAAGGUUAAGGGGAUCUGUUAGAGCAAUCGAAGCAGUGAACUUAAGCCCCAGUAAACGGCGGCCGUAACUAUAACGGUCCUAAGGUAGCGAAAUUCCUUGUCGGGUAAGUUCCGACCCGCACGAAAGGCGUAACGAUUUGGGCACUGUCUCAACAACAGACUCGGUGAAAUUGUAAUUCCGGUGAAGAUGCCGGAUACCUGCGACAGGACGGAAAGACCCCAUGGAGCUUUACUGUAGCUUGACAUUGGGUCUUGGUACUACAUGUACAGGAUAGGUGGGAGGCUUUGAAACCAGGACGCCAGUUUUGGCGGAGCCAUCCUUGGGAUACCACCCUUGUAGUACUGGGACUCUAACCAUAGGCCAUGAAUCUGGUCUUGGGACACUGUCAGGUGGGCAGUUUGACUGGGGCGGUCGCCUCCCAAAAGGUAACGGAGGCGCUCAAAGGUUCUCUCAGUACGGUCGGAAAUCGUACGUAGAGUGUAAAGGCAAAAGAGAGCUUGAUUGCAAGACAUACAGGUCGAGCAAGGAUGAAAAUCGGACUUAGUGAUCCGGUGGUUCUGCGUGGAAGGGCCAUCGCUCAACGGAUAAAAGCUACCCUGGGGAUAACAGGCUUAUCUCCCCCAAGAGUCCACAUCGACGGGGAGGUUUGGCACCUCGAUGUCGGCUCAUCACAUCCUGGGGCUGUAGUAGGUCCCAAGGGUUGGGCUGUUCGCCCAUUAAAGUGGUACGCGAGCUGGGUUCAGAACGUCGUGAGACAGUUCGGUCCCUAUCCGUCGCAGGCGUAGGAAAUUUGAGAAGACCUGUCCUUAGUACGAGAGGACCGGGAUGGACG